UACGAAGGGAGCUAGCGUUGUUCGGAAUUACUGGGCGUAAAGGGCGCGUAGGCGGCUUCAACAGUUGGGCGUGAAAUGCCUGGGCUUAACCCAGGAAUUGCGCUCAAUACUGCGAGGCUUGAGUGUGGGAGAGGAUAGUGGAAUUCCCAGUGUAGAGGUGAAAUGCGUAGAUAUCUGGAGGAACACCGGUGGCGAAGGCGGCAUCCUGGCCUGUUCUUGACGCUGAGGCGCGAAAGCUAGGGGAGCAAACGGG
rnacentral:rRNA from 1 species